GCGGCCAGCGGCAGAGACUGAGGACUGGCCUGAAAGGAAGGCGGAAAACCGGAACAAGGCAGAGCUCCCUGAAGGCAAGAGUUUCAAGCAAACGACAGUCGCUGUGCUCCACUGCGUAGACAGUUUCACAAGAUGAAAAGAGGAAUGGGGGUGGAUGGCUGUGAUGGUGGCCCAGCACGGAAUCAGUUCUUUGCUCUUUGAAACAAGAUGAUCCUUCUCACAUUGAAAGUUCCUUAUUGUCAAGUUCAAUGCUGUCAAGAAAAGCCAAUGCAUGAAUUAUAAUUUAUUUACCACAAUGGGAUUUCUACAAGACAAAGAGA